CUUUCUUCAUUCUCUGUUGUGAUUUACCGGUUUAACCCUAAUUUCUCGAAAUUUCCAGUCGAAAUCUUCCAUAGUUCCAUCCACCUUCGAUUAACGGUGCUAGCUUGUCAGAGCGGCGGAUACGUUCUUGAGUAGCGCGGCUACUCCGAGCUUCGAUCAGGGGCAGGGCAGGACCGGCAAGUACGAUUUUGAGUUGAUUAUCCCUCUAUUGGAAGCCUCGGUGAUGAUCGAAAUCCCGACAUCCUUUGGGACGGGAUUGUAAAACAGGCGCUAUUCUAAAUCCUCUUAUAUUAUAAUUGUAAUAUUGUUCCAUUGAUCACGUUGUUUUGUCAAAAUAUGGCUGUGCUCUUACGGUGUGUGUGUGUGUGUAUAUAUAUAUAUAUAUGCUAUGAUUCAUUGUAUCUUCCUUUUCUUUAAUUUCUUAUAUGGUGUACAGAAAUGCUUGAUGAUACCUAAACACAUGUUUUCGUUGUUUGUAUUUGAUCUCUUGAGAGGUCACUAUUUGAUGCUUGAAUUCUCUGUCGGGAAUCUUCGUUCUCUCUAAAAUACUGGUAGUAAUAGCAAUAUUUAGUGCUCGGCUGCUCUCAGUUUCUGUUUGUCACUUCCUCAGUUCCUCUUCUUUUUUCAUUUUUCCCCUUUGGUGUGUGUUUCAUGUUUGUUUUUUUUAUAAGACAUGCCAUCUGUGUGUGAAAUAUGGGUUUAGUAGUUAACACUUUCUCUUUCUAAAAACAUGCAGUGCCCAAGCCCUUCGCUUCCACCACAGAAUUCUAACUUUGGAUGGUGUAAUCACACAUCAGGUCACUGCACAAAAUUCAGUCUAGUACAAGCUUUGGUGACUUGCUUUUUCUCAGAUGGCUUCUGCAAGUGGAUCUGGGAGUGCAUCGGCUAGUAAUACCGGGGUAGUGGCUAAAUCUAGAAAAAAUGCAACUGGAGUUAGAAAUGAUCCGACAUGGGCACACGGCCAUGAAGUUCCAGGAGAGAGGCUAAAGAUUAAAUGUAAAUAUUGUGACAAGAUAGUUUCUAGAAGUCCCUAUAGAUUUAAGCAUCACUUGGGAUGUACCAAGAUUAAUGUGGCAUCUUGUCCGGGGUUCCUGACGAUGUUAAGAAUAAUAUGCUCAUUAUUUGUAUGCAUUUGGAGGAUCUUUCAAUAAAGAAGAAACAAGCUAAUAGUUGUGGGUUGGAAGAUGAUGAUGUUGUAGACAUUGAUAAGGAUGAUGAAAAUGCAGGGAUUGGUACAAAAA